rnacentral:rRNA from 1 species
CAAUAGCGUAUAUUUAAGUUGUUGCAGUUAAAAAGCUCGUAGUUGGAUUUCGGGUGGGACGCAGCGGUCUCGCAUUGCGUUUGUACUGCUGCAGCACUCCUUCUUGCCGGGGGCGGCCUCUCGGACUUCACUGUCUGGGGGUCAGAAUCGGCGAUGUUACUUUGAGUAAAUUAGAGUGUUCAAAGCAAGCUUACGCUCUGAAUAUAAUAGCAUGGGAUAACACGACAGGACUCUGGCCUAUCGUGUUGGUCUAUAGGACCAGAGUAAUGAUUAAGAGGGACAGUCGGGGGCAUUCGUAUUCCGUUGUCAGAGGUGAAAUUCUUGGAUUUACGGAAGACGAACAUCUGCGAAAGCAUUUGCCAAGGAUGUUUUCAUUGA